rnacentral:pre_miRNA from 1 species
CACCCUAAAUGGGGUCAAAUUGACUCUAGUAGGGAGUCCGUUUUUAAAUUGCGACUCCCUAACGGAGUCAGAUUGAUUCCGAUGGCGGUUAAACAAC